rnacentral:rRNA from 1 species
UGCGUAGGCGGACAUGUAAGUCCGUGGUGAAAUCUCUAAGCUUAACUUGGAAACUGCCAUGGAUACUAUAUGUCUUGAAUGUUGUGGAGGUUAGCGGAAUAUGUCAUGUAGCGGUGAAAUGCAUAGAUAUGACAUAGAACACCAAUUGCGAAGGCAGCUGGCUACACAAAUAUUGACGCUGAGGCACGAAAGCGUGGGGAUCAAACAGGAUUAGAUACCCUGGUAGUCCACGCCCUAAACGAUGAUUACUCGACAUACGUGAUACACAAUGUGUGUCUGAGCGAAAGCAUUAAGUAAUCCACCUGGGAAGUACGACCGCAAGGUUGAA